rnacentral:rRNA from 1 species
CCAGCAAUGCCGCGUGAGUGAAGAAGGCCUUCGGGUUGUAAAGCUCUUUUGUCAGGGAAGAAACGGUGAAAGCUAAUAUCUUUUGCUAAUGACGGUACCUGAAGAAUAAGCACCGGCUAACUACGUGCCAGCAGCCGCGGUAAUA